GGUAUGAUAUUACAAAAAUAGUACGGUGCGCACUACAACAGAAUUAGGUUAUAGAGAUACAUGUUUGGGACACUUUUAAGUAAGUGUCCCAUUUAUGCUAAAACUUGAAAAAACAUCUAUUUAUGCCUAAAUAUAAAGUUCAAUCCAAUCAGAAAUAAAAGAUUACUCUACUCAACCCACCACACCCAGUCCAUUGUACCCGAUUACAAACAGAAAAGAAAAAAAAGAAAAAUCAAUUACCAUCUUUUCUUCUCUCUUCACUCAAUCCACUGAAAUUCUAGACGAAGAGCUUUUCCUGUCGUCCUCCUCCGCCACCGCAGCCAACGAGAUAAAGUUUCGGCGGUUGCUAAAUACUUAAAUAAGUGUUGGUAAAUUAGCAGCACUCUUUUAGAUUAUAGCGACACACUUUAACUGUUACUAUAUACCUAGCGACCCCACAUAUAGCAACACUUUUUAAAAGUGUCAGUAAUUUUAGCUAGCAGCACUUUUUUGACAUAUACCUAUAUUUAAAAGUGUCGCUAUAGACCGCUUUUGUUGUAGUGGCGUUGCAUCUGAAUGUGCAAUAAUGAGAGUAGUUCUAUUUGCUUUUGUUUGUGAUCG
rnacentral:lncRNA from 1 species